CGCGUAGGCGGUUUCGUAAGUCCUGUGUGAAAGCCCCCGGCUCAACUGGGGAACUGCACGGGAAACUGCGAGGCUUGAGUUCGGGAGAGGGAAGCGGAAUUCCGGGUGUAGCGGUGAAAUGCGUAGAUAUCCGGAGGAACACCGGUGGCGAAGGCGGCUUCCUGGACCGAUACUGACGCUGAGGCGCGAAAGCUAGGGGAGCAAACGG
rnacentral:rRNA from 1 species